UUGCUGUUGUUAAACGAAGACAGACGAAUAGACAAAUGAUAAUGAAGCUGUUCGUGGUCAUUGCUCUUGUAGCCGCAGUGUCGUGUGCGCCCCAAAACCCGCAGGAUGUCCAAAUCCUGCGCUAUGACGUCAACAACGGUGGACUAGACUCAUAUAGUUUUGCAUGGGAAUUAUCAGAUGGAUCUAAACAUGAGGAGCAG